rnacentral:rRNA from 1 species
AUUGAACGCUGGCGGCAGGCCUAACACAUGCAAGUCGAGCGGUAACACAGAGGAGCUUGCUCCUUGGGUGACGAGCGGCGGACGGGUGAGUAAUGCCUGGGGAUCUGCCCGAUAGAGGGGGAUAACUACGGGAAACUGUAGCUAAUACCGCAUAAUGUCUACGGACCAAAGUGGGGGCUCUUCGGACCUCAUGCUAUCGGAUGAACCCAGGUGGGAUUAGCUAGUUGGUGAGGUAAUGGCUCACCAAGGCGACGAUCUCUAACUGGUUUGAGAGAAUGACCAGUCACACUGGAACUGAGACACGGUCCAGACUCCUACGGGAGGCAGCAGUGGGGAAUAUUGCACAAUGGGCGCAAGCCUGAUGCAGCCAUGCCGCGUGUGUGAAGAAGGNCUUCGGGUUGUAAAGCACUUUCAGCGGGGAGGAAGGGCUACUAGCUAAUACCUAGUGGCAUUGACGUUACUCGCAGAAGAAGCACCGGCUAACUCCGUGCCAGCAGCCGCGGUAAUACGGAGGGUGCAAGCGUUAAUCGGAAUUACUGGGCGUAAANCGCACGCAGGCGGUUUG